UACGGGGGGGGCAAGCGUUGUUCGGAAUUACUGGGCGUAAAGGGUUUGUAGGUGGCCGGCUAAGUCAGACGUGAAAUCCCUCAGCUUAACUGGGGAACUGCGUCUGGGACUGGUCGGCUUGAGGGCCGGAGAGGAACGCGGAAUUCCAGGUGUAGCGGUGAAAUGCGUAGAUAUCUGGAGGAACACCGGUGGCGAAGGCGGCAUCCUGGACCGAUAUUGACGCUGAUGCGCGAAAGCCAGGGGAGCAAACGGG
rnacentral:rRNA from 1 species